UACAGAGGUCUCAAGCGUUGUUCGGAUUCAUUGGGCGUAAAGGGUGCGUAGGUGGCGCCGUAAGUCAGGUGUGAAAUUUCGGAGCUUAACUCCGAAACUGCAUUUGAUACUGCGGUGCUUGAGGACUGGAGAGGAGACUGGAAUUUACGGUGUAGCAGUGAAAUGCGUAGAGAUCGUAAGGAAGACCAGUGGCGAAGGCGGGUCUCUGGACAGUUCCUGACGCUGAGGCACGAAGGCCAGGGGAGCAAACGGG
rnacentral:rRNA from 1 species